GUGUGUUUUUCUCUUAACCUGGAGGUGGUAAUCAAACCGGGGGACUUAUCUGAUGAGCUCGUCUCAUCACACUUUGGUUGGCGAGGAGGAUAAAAUGGCAAAAUUGUAAAUGAGGCAGAUUCGGGAUUAAUCUGAACCACAGAGUGCAGAUUGGGAUAAUCAAAGAGAAGAACAUGAUAUAGAGAAGACACGUGGCCCAAUGAAAAAGCCACGGGGGCUCUGUAUAGCCAAUUGCAAUCUGAUUUUAGAUUCGCAUCGCACAAAACCUUACUUAUACGAUCACUCUCCCAUAUUCACACUUCCACCAAACACCUCCCUCGUCCACAUCUUUUCUCUCUUUUGGUGGCAAACACACUACGACUCUGAGAGAAACGAUGGCGUCUAACUCGUUAAUGAGCUGCGGCAUCGCCGCCGUGUACCCUUCGCUUCUCUCUUCUUCCAAGUCUAAAUUCGUCUCCGCCGGAGUCCCGCUCCCCAACGCCGGGAACGUUGGCCGUAUCAGAAUGGCUGCUCACUGGAUGCCCGGCGAGCCACGACCAGCUUACCUUGACGGUUCUGCUCCUGGGUACGCCAUUUUUAUAAAUUCGAAUCCUUUUACUCUGUUUCUCACUCAUUUUGCAAUAGGGACCUGUCUCUCCCUGUUACUCAAUUUGUUAGAUUAGAUGUGUAUAAAGAAAAGUUUGGAAUCUCUUUGAUGCAAGAUUGGAGGAUGUUUAAAGCUUCAGUCUUUAAGUUAUUGCGUAUACAUUAUACACCUCUCAUAGAUCGUCUCUUUUUACUCUGUUUAUUGCAGAACUUGGAACCAUGUUUUUUCUGCCUCUGUUUUGGUCACUUUAUUAUAUGUGUGUCUAUAGAGAUUAGAGACAUUCUGAUUUAAAAUUGGAGGCUGCAUAAAAAGAUUCAUGGAUUCAAAGAUAUUGAUUGGGUACAAAAUUGUGCAGUGACUUUGGGUUUGACCCACUUGGACUAGGAGAGGUUCCAGAGAACCUUGAGAGGUACAAAGAAUCAGAGCUCAUCCACUGUAGAUGGGCUAUGCUCGCUGUUGUAAGUUUCACUAUCCAAUCUUUGUCUUAUCAUAAGGGUGUAGUCUUGUUAAGUUUAGUCUAAUGAAAUUGGUGUGUGGUGUGUUGUAGCCUGGGAUUUUGGUACCAGAAGCAUUAGGAUAUGGAAACUGGGUUAAAGCUCAGGAAUGGGCAGCAUUACCAGGGGGUCAAGCCACUUACUUGGGAAACCCUGUCCCGUGGGGUACUUUGCCCACAAUCUUGGCCAUUGAGUUCCUUGCUAUCGCAUUCGUCGAGCACCAGAGAAGUAUGGAGAAAGACCCUGAGAAAAAGAAGUACCCAGGAGGUGCAUUUGACCCCCUCGGAUACUCAAAGGACCCCAAGAAGUUGGAGGAAUUGAAGGUCAAGGAGAUCAAGA
rnacentral:lncRNA from 1 species